rnacentral:rRNA from 1 species
AUUGAACGCUGGCGGCAGGCCUAACACAUGCAAGUCGAGCGAUCGGCGGACGGGUGAGUAAUGUAUGGGGCCUGCCCGAUAGAGGGGGAUCACUACUGGAAACGGUGGCUAAUACCGCAUACUAUCGGAUCACCCAUAUGGGAUUAGCUAGUAGGUGGGGUAAAGGCUCACCUAGGCGACGAUCUCUAGCUGGUCUGAGAGGAUGAUCAGCCACACUGGGAAUGAGACACGGCACAGAACCCCACGGAGGCAGCCGUGGGGAAUAUUGCCGAAUGGGUGAAAGGCGUAUAAAGCCAUGACGGGUUGAUGCAGACGGACUUAGGGUUGUAAAGGACUUACAGCGGGCAGGCGUUACCCGCAGCAGACGCAACGGCUAACUCCGUGCCAGCCGCCGCGGUAAUAC